CCCUUUAACACUUCCCAACCAUACAUUCUUCUAUAUAUCUUUUUAGUUCUUCUUUCUCCCUUUCACUUUCUAUAUCUAUAUAUGCGUUGGAGAAACUAUGUAUGUGUUCUUGUGGAAAUUGCAUGGAGAAUCUGUAAAGCUCAGGAGGGAUAGCACCAUGGAUACAUCUCCAUCAGCUUGUGGCUUUUGACAAAACACUAAUGGAACAUUUGACAAGAACAACAUGGAGUUUGCGACGUUUUGAGAAAAAAUUGGUUGUGAGCUAUGUGAAAAGUUAUGGACCCUUUGAGUCUGAACGUGGUGUUGUUGACUGUUGGGGAGGAUCUUUUCAUCUUGUGAUGAUCAACUUGGCUAUUGUUAAAUUCACGGGCAUGUUGGAUCAUACCUUGAUGUUGUAGGUGUGUAUUUACAGCAACUUACUCCCAAUACAAGUUAGCCUCAUAACAA